rnacentral:rRNA from 1 species
AUUACCGAGUGCGGGUCCUUUGGGCCCAACCUCCCAUCCGUGUCUAUUGUACCCUGUUGCUUCGGCGGGCCCGCCGCUUGUCGGCCGCCGGGGGGGCGCCUCUGCCCCCCGGGCCCGUGCCCGCCGGAGACCCCAACACGAACACUGUCUGAAAGCGUGCAGUCUGAGUUGAUUGAAUGCAAUCAGUUAAAACUUUCAACAAUGGAUCUCUUGGUUCCGGCAUCGAUGAAGAACGCAGCGAAAUGCGAUAACUAAUGUGAAUUGCAGAAUUCAGUGAAUCAUCGAGUCUUUGAACGCACAUUGCGCCCCCUGGUAUUCCGGGGGGCAUGCCUGUCCGAGCGUCAUUGCUGCCCUCAAGCCCGGCUUGUGUGUUGGGUCGCCGUCCCCCUCUCCGGGGGGACGGGCCCGAAAGGCAGCGGCGGCACCGCGUCCGAUCCUCGAGCGUAUGGGGCUUUGUCACAUGCUCUGUAGGAUUGGCCGGCGCCUGCCGACGUUUUCCAACCAUUCUUUCCAGGUUGACCUCGGAUCAGGUAGGGAUACCCGCUGAACUUAAGCAUAUCAAUAAGNCGGAGGAA